UUUGUUACUUCAAACCAAUCGGACUUCGGUCUGACAUCAAGUGAUAUUGAACAAUUUAGCUGAUCGCACGGUCUAAGAACCGGCGACAUAUCCUUCAAAUGUCUGCCUUAUCAACUUUCGAUGGUAGAUUAUGCGCCUACCAUGGUUGUAACGGGUAACGGAGAAUCAGGGUUUGAUUCCGGAGAGGGAGCCUGAGAAACGGCUACCACAUCCAAGGAAGGCAGCAGGCACGCAAAUUACCCACUCCCGGCACGGGGAGGUAGUGACGAAAAAUAACAAGCUGGUCUCAAUGAGUUCCAGCAUUGUAAUGGGACCAAUUUAAAUCUUUUAUCGAGGAUCUAUUGGAGGGCAAGUCUGGUGCCAGCAGCCGCGGUAAUUCCAGCUCCAAUAGCGUAUAUUAAAGUUGUUGCGGUUAAAAAGCUCGUAGUUGGAUCUAGGGUUAGGGCUACAGUCGUUCAGCUUGGACGUACUGUAUGCCCGACUCCUUUUCUCUAGUAUUCGAUUGUUGCUCUUAAAUGAGUGACUUUAGUUGCUGGAACUUUUACCUUGAAAAAAUUGAAGUGCUCAAAGCAGGUU
rnacentral:rRNA from 1 species